rnacentral:tRNA from 2 species
CGGGGUGUAGCGCAGUCUGGUAGCGCGCCUGCUUUGGGAGCAGGAUGUCGGGGGUUCAAAUCCCUCCACCCCGA